AGAACACUUACCUCCUCUUCAGCAAGAAACAUCUUAACCUCAGCCAUGUCUGAACAGGUUAAGACUUCAGCAGCAGACAAUAUGAGUGUGUUGCUGUUUGGUGUGGACAGCUCAGGAUCUGCCCAGAUGGGACGACCCCCAGUUGACUACAAUGAAAGUUAUUAUGACAAUGCGAAACGUGUUGGAAAUCUGAAAGGCUUCUCUCACAUCCUGUUCAGUCCAACUGGGACAAUGUUUGCCAUCCAUAAUGCAGACAUCUAUGCAGGGUCUCCUCCAGUGAAU